rnacentral:rRNA from 1 species
UACGUAGGGGGCAAGCGUUGUCCGGAUUUAUUGGGCGUAAAGAGCGUGUAGGCGGCCCGGUAGGUCAGCUGUGAAAACUCGAGGCUCAACCUCGAGACGCCGGUUGAAACCAUCUGGCUAGAGUCCGGAAGAGGAGAGUGGAAUUCCUGGUGUAGCGGUGAAAUGCGCAGAUAUCAGGAAGAACACCCGUGGCUAAGGCGGCUCUCUAGUACGGUACUGACGCUGAGACGCGAAAGCGUGGGGAGCGAACAGG